UACAGAGGUCUCAAGCGUUGUUCGGAUUCAUUGGGCGUAAAGGGUGCGUAGGCGGCGCGGUAAGUCGGGUGUGAAAUCUCGGGGCUUAACUCCGAAACUGCAUUCGAUACUGCCGUGCUUGAGGACUGGAGAGGAGACUGGAAUUUACGGUGUAGCGGUGAAAUGCGUAGAUAUCGUAAGGAAGACCAGUGGCGAAGCCGUGUCUCUGGACAGUUCCUGACGCUGAGGCACGAAGGUCAGGGGAGCAAACGGG
rnacentral:rRNA from 1 species